GCAGGCCUCUCCGCCGCCUCCGCCCCGCAGCUGGGCCCCGCCGCGCCACCUCCCACAGGCCCCCACGCCCGGCCCGGCCGGCGUCAGAGCAAUACGUCGCUGACUACAACUCCCGGUUCUUCGAAACCUAGUAGAAGCUAACAGCCUUGGCACUGGAGUGCAAGGGCUCAAAAUGCAUCUUUAUGACUUACUUGGCCAAGUUACUUCCCCUACUCUGUGUGCCUCCCUGGAGAUGAUAACAACAAGACCACCUCCAAGCUUAUGUGAGACAGGCCUCCAACAUAAUAUGGGAAUCAUGAUAGCAGGCAUCCUUUUUUUGUUCCUGACACAGAGGGAAUAUAUCUCACUUUUCACCAUUGCGGCGGUCUGGCCCAGGGAUUCAGACCCUCCUGAUAGGUCCAGCAGUCACUUACCAGAGUGGGAGAGGAUAUGAGCCUUCAGCUUGUCUGGCCGGUUGAAUUCUUUACUGCAGCCCGUGUGUGUCCUAGAACCCAAAAC